GAGACGUUGCCCUUCGGGGUAUACCUCCCACCCUUUGUUUAUUAUACCUUUGUUGCUUUGGCGGGCCCGUCCUCGGACCACCGGCUUCGGCUGGUCAGCGCCCGCCAGAGGACCUAAAACUCUUGGAUUUAAUAUUGUCUGAGUACUAUAUAAUAGUUAAAACUUUCAACAACGGAUCUCUUGGUUCU
rnacentral:misc_RNA from 1 species